AUACGUACCUGGCAGGGGAGAUACCAUGAUCACAAAGGUGGUUUUCCCAGGGUGAGGCUUAUCCAUUGCAUUCUGGAUGUGCUGACCCCUGCUAUUUCCCCAAAUGUGGGAAACUCAGCUGCAUAAUUUAUGGUAGUGGGGGACUGCGUUCACGCUUUCCUCUG
rnacentral:snRNA from 1 species